CUCCAGCUCAGUCUCCUUCAAUGACAUCCUGUCCAACCAGUCCCAGGACAGCUGUCCAAGACAACAUGAUUCAAUGAGGAACAUGAGACAAGUGCCUGUGAAUACCAUAGAGUUCAUGGGCCCCCCUACCCCAAGGAGAGCUGGAACAUUCCUUACACCUGUGCCAGUUUCCAGCACCCCUGGUUCAUCUGAUUUCUUUGGAGCUAAGCCUUCCAACCUUGAAGGAAUACUGUCACCAUCAUCAAAUCAGUCUAUUGCAAUUGCAUCCAGUAACAUUGCAGCAGCCAGCAAAGGGGACUC